UACGAAGGGAGCUAGCGUUGUUCGGAAUCACUGGGCGUAAAGCGCACGUAGGCGGAUGUGUCAGUCAGGGGUGAAAUCCCGGAGCUCAACUUCGGAACUGCCCUUGAUACAGCACGUCUUGAGUCCGGAAGAGGUGGGUGGAAUUCCUAGUGUAGAGGUGAAAUUCGUAGAUAUUAGGAAGAACACCGGUGGCGAAGGCGGCAUCCUGGACCGGCAUUGACGCUGAGGAGCGAAAGCCAGGGGAGCAAACGGG
rnacentral:rRNA from 1 species